CCGUGGACCUGGCCCCCGUUGUGCCAGGCGCUGUAUAAACCAGAACGAGGAGAGAGCUGAGAACCGAAGUGUGGAGGAGAGACAGCAGAUGGAUACAGACACAGAGGGAGCCCGAUCCUCCAUCGCUGAGACCACGGGGAGGUGCCUGAAUGUAGGGAUGGGCCCAAUCCUACACCACAGAGACUGCAGCGAGGGACCUGAUCCUACAUCGCCAGGAGAGCUGCUCUGUGGCUGCCAAGUUCUUCCUUGCUGAGCAGCAUGAGCACAACUGUUUUCCUGUUGCUAAAUUACAAUAUCAAAGUGAGGGGCCCAGCGGGACCCCGUGGGCCAAUGGGAAAUUGACAUGCAAAAUACGGGGCUUUCCCACACAUAAUGAAGCCAUCGAGGAGGUGAGUACAAGCCAGCAUCCCCACGCCCCACUGGGAUGCCCCAUGUGGGAGGGGCACAGGGGAACAGGGCAGGGCCAGGAUUCUGGCUGUGCCUGGGCGGAUAUUCAGACAAAUAAAACUAUGAAAAGUUGCCAAGUCAUCCUCCUACCCCGAGUGGAAUGGAUGGAAUGGAAACCCCGCCCACCCCACAGCUCCUAUCCCCAAAUCUGACCCGUUGGAGCCUCCUGAUUUGUGGGUGCAGGGCUUGGCCGUCCAGGGGUGACGCCGUGCGGACAAGAGCACAGAUGUGGCAGGCAAGCCCGCAGUGUCGGCAGCAGACGAGGCCUGCAGGCAGCUGGCUGGUUAUCUGGGGUAAGGCGCUAAGGUAGCAGGAUCCGGGUAGCUUCCUCCGGGCCCUCUAGACGGAAGGGGAGCCCGUGGAGAAAGCAGCAUGGAGGGGACUGGGAUGGGGGCUGAGGAGAUGCUGAGGAGCUGGGUGCUACAGUCUCACCCAGCAGGGCUCUCACUGCAGGGCUGAACGGACAGGGCAGGGAGGUGCUGGGAAACGGGUACCUUGCUCUGGUGGUACCAUCCCACGGGGCCGUGGGGAGCCCCGGGGGGAUCAGAGCC